AUUAUCAUGAUGAAAAUUUUCAGGAAGUGCCGUCUGAGUAUACAUAUGUUGACGAUAAUAAAAACAUAUCUGAACAUAAUUA
rfam:Plasmodium knowlesi strain H chromosome 13, complete genome